rnacentral:piRNA from 1 species
GUGCGUUAGGAAAGAAGGAAGAACAGG